ensembl:lncRNA
GAUCACAGGCAAAUAAAAUUCAGCCCUUACACCUGUUCCAUCCACCCUACCAAGGAAGCCUUCCCAGCUGCCCCUGGUUGAGCACCUAGUCCCAGAAUAUCUGUAACUUGACUUCUUCGACACUCUGAGCAACUUGAAGGUCUGUGACAUUAGAGGACAGGCCAAGUUCUCUCCAUUGGUAGGUAGCAGAUUUGUAUCCAAACCCAUGUCACAUUGAUUCUGGAGUCUGUGGCCAGUCUCCUCCGAGGUCAUCUAACCUUCCACACCAGAGUCUAUUCCUGACUCCCUAGAUGAAGAAGAAAAGAACUGUGAAUAUAGGGCAACAAGCAUGGUGGUCGGGCUCCAGAUAACUGCUCUUGUCCUUGCUCCACUACUGAUUGGCUCUGUGACCUUGAACAAGUCACUUCACCUUAAAGAAACUGCUUCUUCGUUUGAAAAUGGAGUCAUCACAUUUAUCUGCUCUAAGCGAGCUUCACCAGCAGCAGGCAAGGUCUGUAACACACUAGGAAACUAAGAGAGACUGUACAAAUCCACAGUAUCUUACAACAGAGAAUCAUCCUUUUCACCCUCCGGUGGCAUCAAGCUCAACAGUUUACCAGUCUGCACAGCUUCUGCCCUGCUCCAGACCUCAAGAUCUUCACUUUGACCACUGCAACUGACUUGUUUUGCCAUUUGAGUGCAUCAUCAACCAGAGCAAUCUUUUCAAAUUGCAAGUGUGGUCAAGUCUCUCCCUUUCUCAUAACCCUUCCCAUCAUUUCUAGAUUACAUUUUAAGAAUGCAGACGACCUUCACAACUUGUCUUCAAACUCCAUAUCCAAGCAUUGCUGACCACUUGCUGUCACAAUCCCUAUAUUGCAGCUAAGUUGAGCUAUUUGAAAUUUCCUCAAGAUACCUUGAUCUCUCAUGACUCCAGGCUGUACUACACACUCAUUUCUUUUUCUGGAGGCCUUUCCCAUUUGACAUGUUCCAACAUAUCCUUCAAGACCCACUUCAAAUACUAUUUUCCCUGAGAAGCUUUCUCCAACUCCCCCAGGCUGUUAAUAUUUCUGUUAUCUUUGAUUUUUAACCUACACAUUUAUUUGUUCACACUUGAAUUUCUGCCAUUUCCCUUAGGAAAAAAAUGUUCCAUAAACUGCUUCUUGAGUUUGAUUCUCUCCUUUUUCAUUUGUAGCCCUGAAUAUUCUACCUUACUGACAGCUCCAAGGUCAGUGCUUUGACCUUGUAAAAACACAGUGUAAAUCAUGUGUUUAAAAAAAAAAAUUUUCAGCAGCUGCUAAAAUCAAAUGAAUUUGGGGUAAAAUGAAUAUGAUUUUUAGGUCAUCAUCUGCUAUAUGGAACAUUUCUUUACCUGUAAGCAAUCUGGCGGGGGAUGGCAAGAGGCAGUAAAUUCACCUGCUUUGGUUAAUUCUGGAGAGUCAGUACCUGAUUGAAAAUUCCCUUCUGUGCCCUCAUGAUGCUCUAUGCACAGCUCUAGCCAAGCUUUUAUCUCCAGACUUCUCAUCACUACUUAUUUCUUAGCCUCCCAGAGAAGGUCCAUGGCCGGGACAAUGGAUCCCUCUUCAUAUUCCCCAGCAGCAAGCCCUGUUUGUGAGACAUGCUUGGUACUCAAUUUAGAAAUGUUCAUUGCAUAAAUAACAGUAGCUAACAUUUGUGGAGGGCUUAUUAUGUGCCAGACAGGCACUGUUCUAAACACCUUCUGUGUAUCAACUCAUCUAAUUCUCAAAAUAACCCUAUAGGAUAGGAAUUAUAAUUAUCCGCAUUUUAAAAAUGAGCAAACAGAAACCCAAAAUAUGUGCAGAAGCUUGAUUUAGAACUUGAGUUCUCGGCAAGAGAGCCAUACCUCCACCACAACAAAAUACUGCCUCUCAUGU